rnacentral:rRNA from 1 species
AGAGUGAACGCUGGCGGUAGGCCUAACACAUGCAAGUCGAACGGCAGCACAGUGGUAGCAAUACCAUGGGUGGCGAGUGGCGGACGGGUGAGGAAUACAUCGGAAUCUACCUUUUCGUGGGGGAUAACGUAGGGAAACUUACGCUAAUACCGCAUACGCCCUUCGGGGGAAAGCCGGGGAUCGCAAGACCUGGCGCGGAUAGAUGAGCCGAUGUCGGAUUAGCUAGUUGGUGAGGUAAUGGCUCACCAAGGCGACGAUCCGUAGCUGGUCUGAGAGGAUGAUCAGCCACACUGGAACUGAGACACGGUCCAGACUCCUACGGGAGCAGCAGUGGGGAAUUUUGGACAAUGGGCGCAAGCCUGAUCCAGCAAUGCCGCGUGCAGGAU